GCACGUUAUUGCUUCUACAGGAAGAAUUGCAGUUAGGGUAAUUGAAGGGUGAAACGAAAGGCUUUGUGGUUAGCACUGCAGAGCAGCACUGCAGACUGUAAAAUCGCUGUUCUGCUUCCUGCAGCCAGAACUUCCUUACUGGCAUCAGUGGGAGAGGAACCAGGCUUUUCAGUGCGUUGGUAAGCCCUGAGUCGCCGGUGUUCUCCCACUUCAGGAAAGCCGAGCGCCAUCAGCUAAUGGCCAUGAAUAUUUCAGCUGUGUCAUUAUUAUUUCACAGAGCUUGCUGCCUGACCUGCCGGCGUGCGCACAGGACCCAGACAUAAAAGCAAACCCACAGCUAGCAUGGACGCAGUGAGAGCCCCCGACAGCAUCGCGCUGAGAGAGGAGCAGGGAUCAGGUGGUGAAAAUCAGUUCCCUUCUGACAUGCUGCAUGCUUCGCUUCUCCCUCCUUCGGGCCGCAGCCCGUGUGACCCGGUGCUCCCAGCUGAACAGGGGUGGCUCGGCUGCGAGGAGCACAUGUAUUGGAGGCCAUGAGCAUCACGGCUGUUUUAGUUUCCAGAUCCAACUCCUGAACAGAGAGCACUUACAGGAAACCUGUAGUUUGCUUAUUUAUUU
ensembl:lncRNA